rnacentral:misc_RNA from 1 species
GAUGAAGAACUAGCGAAAUGCGAUAAGUAAUGUGAAUUGCAGAAUUCAGUGAAUCAUCGAAUCUUUGAAUGCAUCUUGCGCUCCUUGGUAUUCUGAGGAGCAUGCCUGUUUGAGUGUCAUUAAAUUCUCAACUACACUGACUUUGAAUUGGUGUGGCUUGGAUUUGGGGGGAAAAUUGUUGUGGGCUUUUUGUAUAGUCUGCUCCCCUGAAAUUGAUUAGCGGUACCUUUGUGGAACUGUCUACAGGUGUGAUAAUUAUCUACAUCUUAGACAUCUGCUGGAAUGCUGCUUUCUAAACCUUACUUGUAUUGACAAUCUUGACCUCAAAUCAGGUAGGACUACCCGCUGAACUUAAGCAUAUCAAUAAGCGGAGGA